UAAUCGGAAUUACUGGGCGUAAAGCGCGCGUAGGUGGUUUUUUAAGUUGGAUGUGAAAGCCCUGGGCUCAACCUAGGAACUGCAUCCAAAACUAGAUGACUAGAGUACGAAAGAGGGAAGUAGAAUUCACAGUGUAGCGGUGGAAUGCGUAGAUAUUGUGAAGAAUACCAAUGGCGAAGGCAGCUUCCUGGUUCUGUACUGACACUGAGGUGCGAAAGCGUGGGUAGCGAACAGGAUUAGAUACCCUGGUAGUCCACGCCGUAAACGAUGACAACUAGCUGUUGGGAGACAAGAUCUCUCAGUGGCGCAGCUAACGCUUUAAGUUGUCCGCCUGGGGAGUACGGCCGCAAGGUUAAAACUCAAAUGAAUUGACGGGGACCCGCACAAGCGGUGGAGCAUGUGGUUUAAUUCGAUGCAACGCGAAAAACCUUACCUACUCUUGACAUACUUGGAAGCUCUUGUAAUGAGAGUGUGCUUUUAGAGCCAAGAUACAGGUGCUGCAUGGCUGUCGUCAGCUCGUGUCGUGAGAUGUUGGGUUAAGUCCCAUAACGAGCGCAACCCUUACCCUUAUUUGCCAGCGGUUCGGCCGGGAACUAUAAGGGGACUGCCGGUGACAAACCGGAGGAAGGUGAGGACGACGUCAAGUCAUCAUGGCCCUUACGAGUAGGGCUACACACGUGCUACAAUGGGGAAUACAGACGGACGCUAAAGCGUGAGCUGGUGCCAAUCCUAAAAAAUUUCUCGUAGUCCGGAUUGCAGUCUGCAACUCGACUGCAUGAAGUCGGAAUCGCUAGUAAUCGCGAAUCAGCAUGUCGCGGUGAAUACGUUCUCGGGUCUUGUACACACCGCCCGUCACACCAUGGAAGUGUGUUGCACCAGAAGUAGGUAGUCUAACCUUCGGGAAGGCGCUUACCACGGUGUGAUCCAUGACUGGGGUGAAGUCAUAACAAGGUAGCCGUA
rnacentral:rRNA from 1 species